GCCGACGAGUGGACGAACGGGUGAGUAAUGUAUACGGAACGUACCAUUGAGGUGGGGAAUAACGUAGACGAAAGUUACGCUAAUACCGCAUAUUCUCUCCGGAGGAAAGCAGGGGACCGCAAGGCCUUGCGCUCUUUGAGCGGCCGAUAUCAGAUUAGCUAGUUGGUGAGGUAAAAGGCUCACCAAGGCGACGAUCUGUAGCGGGUCUGAGAGGAUGAUCCGCCACACUGGAACUGAGACACGGUCCAGACUCCUACGGGAGGCAGCAGUGGGGAAUUUUGGACAAUGGGGGCAACCCUGAUCCAGCCAUGCCGCGUGAGUGAAGAAGGCCUUCGGGUUGUAAAGCUCUUUCGGCCGGGAAGAAAUCGCAUGGGUUAAUACCCUGUGCGGAUGACGGUACCGGCAUAAGAAGCACCGGCUAACUACGUGCCAGCAGCCGCGGUAAUACGUAGGGUGCGAGCGUUAAUCGGAAUUACUGGGCGUAAAGC
rnacentral:rRNA from 1 species